CCUCCACCCGCAGGAGGGACCCCCGGAAGGAGCACGAGCCAAAGAAACAGGAGGAGACCCCCCCCUCCUUCAGCCAUGCCAGCAAAUACGCCGCGCUCUCCAUGGACGGGGAGGAUGAAGGUGAUGAUGAAGAAGGAGCCGAGUAACACCUUCCUCCCCCUCCCCCUCCUCCUCCUCCUCCUCAGCCGCUGCAGGAACCUCUGGAGGUUCCCAAAAAUCCCAACCUUGAUCCAGGCGAGACGGAAAUAAAACCUAAAACUCAUGAA